AUCAGUAAUUUUGUAGAGCUAAGCACGAUGAAGCAAAGUGAAAGGUAAUAGUGCCGAAAUGUAUAAGUGAUGCUUUAAGCUUAUAUGUUGGGGUUAUAUAAAAUAUAUAUAACACUGUCACAUUAAUUUGUGGAGGGCUAUCUUU
rnacentral:ncRNA from 1 species